GGCUUAUUAGCUCAGUUGGUUAGAGCGUUGUGCUAAUAACGCGAGGGUUGCAGAUUCGAGACCUGCACAGGCCA